UACGGGGGGUGCGAGCGUUGUCCGGAAUCACUGGGUGUAAAGGGCGCGUAGGUGGUUUGAUAAGGGUGUGGUGAAAGUCCGGGGCUCAACCCCGGACCUGCCGUGCCGACUGUCAAACUCGAGGACUGUAGAGGCAGACGGAAUUCCGGGUGUAGCGGUGGAAUGCGUAGAGAUCCGGAGGAAGACCGGUGGCGAAGGCGGUCUGCUGGGCAGUUUCUGACACUGAGGCGCGACAGCGUGGGGGAGCAAACAGG
rnacentral:rRNA from 1 species